UACGUAGGUGGCAAGCGUUGUCCGGAAUUAUUGGGCGUAAAGCGCGCGCAGGCGGUCUUUUAAGUCUGAUGUGAAAGCCCACGGCUCAACCGUGGAGGGUCAUUGGAAACUGGGAGACUUGAGUGCAGAAGAGAAGAGUGGAAUUCCACGUGUAGCGGUGAAAUGCGUAGAGAUGUGGAGGAACACCAGUGGCGAAGGCGACUCUUUGGUCUGUAACUGACACUGAGGCGCGAAAGCGUGGGGAGCAAACAGG
rnacentral:rRNA from 1 species